rnacentral:rRNA from 1 species
UAGGGAAUCUUGCGCAAUGGGCGAAAGCCUGACGCAGCCAUGCCGCGUGAAUGAUGAAGGUCUUAGGAUUGUAAAAUUCUUUCACCGGGGAAGAUAAUGACGGUACCCGGAGAAGAAGCCCCGGCUAACUUCGUGCCAGCAGCCGCGGUAAUACGAAGGGGGCUAGCGUUGCUCGGAAUUACUGGGCGUAAAGGGCACGUAGGCGGACAUUUAAGUCAGGGGUGAAAGCCCGGGGCUCAACCUCGGAAUUGCCUUUGAUACUGGAUGUCUUGAGUUCGGGAGAGGUGAGUGGAAUGCCGAGUGUAGAGGUGAAAUUCGUAGAUAUUCGGCGGAACACCAGUGGCGAAGGCGACUCACUGGCCCGAUACUGACGCUGAGGCGCGAAAGCGUGGGGAGCAAACAGGAUUAGAUACCCUGGUAGUCCACGCCGUAAAACGAUGAGUGCUAGUUGUCGGCAUGCAUGCAUGUCGGUGACGCAGCUAACGCAUUAAAGCACUCCGCCUGGGGAGUACGGUCGCAAGAUUAAAAACUCAAAGGAAAUUGACGGGGGUCAUAGCUGUUUCCUG